AGCGAACGCUGGCGGCAGGCCUAACACAUGCAAGUCGAACGGAUCCUUCGGGAUUAGUGGCGGACGGGUGAGUAACACGUGGGAACGUGCCCUUUGGUUCGGAACAACUCAGGGAAACUUGAGCUAAUACCGGAUGUGCCCUUCGGGGGAAAGAUUUAUCGCCAUUGGAGCGGCCCGCGUCUGUUUAGCUAGUUGGUGAGGUAACGGCCCACCAAGGCGUCGAUCAGUAGCUGGUCCGGGAGGGUGAUCAGCCACACUGGGAGUGGGGCACGGACAAGAGUACUACGGGAGGCAGGAGUGGGGAAUCGUGCGGAAUGAGAGAAAGCCUGACGCAGACAUGCCGCGUGAAUGAUGAAGGUCUUAGGAUUGUAAAAUUCUUUAAGCGGGGACGAUAAUGACGGUACCCGAAGAAGAAGCUCCGGCUAACUUCGUG
rnacentral:rRNA from 1 species